ensembl:snRNA U6 U6 spliceosomal RNA
GUGCUCUCUUCAGCAGCACAUAUUCUAAAAUUGGAACGAUACAGAGAAGAUUAGCAUGGACCCUACACAAGGAUGACACACAAAUUCAUGAAGCAUUCCAUAUUUUU